UGAAUACAUAUGAAUAUUUUACAGUGGCAAAAACCAUUGGUGAAAUCAAGUGGAAGCUGGCAACAGGACUAUACUCUGAAGCAGAUGGCCUGGGGCUGGGAGAUUUGAGUGCCCUAUUACAGGAAGAAGUGUGAUUUCCUGCAGCCUUAAUCUUCCUGGGGUAACCAACUGCACCUCUCCACAAACCUCCUCAGAAGAUGAUGGGAACUGAGUAACCGGGCACUCACCUGUACUUUAAAGUGCUCUAUCUACCACCAGACUCUGGUCCUGGACAAAAAGGGUAGGACAAACUGGGAGGUAGAAGGGAGGAAGUGGCCUUGAGGAUCAUGCCCUAUAAUAAGAAGAGAUGUGAGUUAUCCCUCACCACUUGGUCCAGGGAUAAGGGUUUAGCCUAUGUGUUGUGGAAACGUUUGAGAGAACUGGGAGCCCCAGUCUUCUGUCCAAUUUAACUGAGCUCAUCCAACAGCUCCAAAUUACUGGACUGGGAGAGAAUGGGCUGGUGGGUCUCUGAAAGGAGACAUACGUGCACACAGUAAAUGCAAGUUGAAUAUAGAACAGAGAACAGUUUGUGAUCACUUUGCUUCUUUGCUAUGUGUUGCAAUGACUGUCAACUGACAUUGUAAACUUAAUGAGGUGUUAAAAAUCUUAAGACAUAAACUUGCAACAUGGAAAUCCCAGCCAUUUUCCCCUAGCUUUUCUGGGAAAGCAGAUGGAGGUGAUGAAGGCACUGAGCCCAGCUUCCCACACUUACCCAGGAAACUUAACCAUCAGCAGUAGUCAUGCAGCAUUCAGUGAACUAGAGAAAGAAAAACAACAUCUACCCUUGGGAUCCCAAGCUCCCAAGCACUGCUUUGCCUUCUUUUCAGGGAGUAUGUGGCACACAGAUGUUAGAAAUUAUAGGGGAAAUAAACUUGAGAUUUUUCUCACAGGGUAUCUGGAUGCAGCAUCUUCUCUAAGACAGCCCACCUAAUGUGAGUGAGGAGAAGUUCAAUCUGUCUUUGUGGAUGUCAUGGGUAUGACUUCAUUGACCAACGCUGGGAAAGGUGGGACUGGAUUGCCAGGAAUCACAUUUGGUGCAGAAACAUCAAUAAAGUUGUGUGACAGAUAAAACCUGUGCUCCUGAAAGUCAAAUGACAGGUAAUCUGUGCUUCCGCAAGGAGGUUGCAUGAUGAUCCACCUGAGUUUGCAGGAGUUUUGUGCAAAAACUUGGGACUAAUCCUGGAACAAAUCUGCAGAAACCAAACAAGUUGUUUGAGAUACACAUCAGAGCAGGGCCUCAAGCCUGGCUCACAGACUUCUCGGUGCCCUUGGAAAUCUGGCUAUGGGUAUUUCCUGUGAGCUCCUAACUGUAAGACUCCUACCACAUAGGUAUUUAAAUUUUGGAGAUUUUUAUGAGUCCUGUCAAAUUUCUCCGCUCUUCUCCUCCUUCCUGCCUCUUAUUUUGAGACCAGAGGCUGCAAACUGCACCACUAUAACCAACAGUAAGAGAGAAGAGUGUCUGGGAUGUGUCAGCUGCAUCUGUGCCCACCAUUGAAGAGACUGAUGGGCAACAAAGGAGCUGAAGAAAGUCUGGCAGAGAACCAGGAACUUUUCCAUCCUACAAUCCAAACAGAUAUCCCAAAUAUCCUGCUGCUGGCCUCUCUGAGACACUGGUGUUUUUGAACUUCUGAACUCUUCAUACGGAGAGGUGAACUGUGAAAUAUUUGAAACAGGGAGCUCUAUCAGGCUUUCCCACAUUCCAGCAGAUGCCUUUUUUUG